rnacentral:rRNA from 1 species
UACAGAGGGGGCAAGCGUUGUUCGGAAUUACUGGGCGUAAAGGGCGCGUAGGCGGCCUGCUAAGUCGAACGUGAAAUCCCCGAGCUCAACUCAGGAACUGCGUCCGAUACUGGCAGGCUUGAAUCCGGGAGAGGGAUGCGGAAUUCCAGGUGUAGCGGUGAAAUGCGUAGAUAUCUGGAGGAACACCGGUGGCGAAGGCGGCAUCCUGGACCGGCAUUGACGCUGAGGCGCGAAAGCGUGGGGAGCAAACAGG